rnacentral:rRNA from 1 species
UACGUAGGGGGCGAGCGUUGUCCGGAUUUAUUGGGCGGAAAGAGCUCGUAGGCGGUCUGUCGCGUCGGAUGGGAAAACCCAGGGCUCAACUCUGGGCCUGCAUUCGAUACGGGCAGACUAGAGUACGGCAGGGGAGACUGGAAUUCCUGGUGUAGCGGUGAAAUGCGCAGAUAUCAGGAGGAACACCGGUGGCGAAGGCGGGUCUCUGGGCCGUAACUGACGCUGAGGAGCGAAAGCGUGGGGAGCGAACAGG